rnacentral:piRNA from 1 species
UGUAAAAGCCAAAGGUCCGGUGAUGA